CACGUAGGGCGCGAGCGUUAAUCGGAAUUACUGGGCGUAAAGCGCGCGUAGGCGGCUUGUUAAGUCAAAUGUGAAAUCCCCGAGCUUAACUUGGGCAUUGCAUUCGAUACUGGCAAGCUAGAGUAUGGGAGAGGAAGGUAGAAUUCCAGGUGUAGCGGUGAAAUGCGUAGAGAUCUGGAGGAAUACCGAUGGCGAAGGCAGCCUUCUGGCCUAAUACUGACGCUGAGGUGCGAAAGCAUGGGGAGCAAACAGG
rnacentral:rRNA from 1 species